AUUGAACGCUGGCGGCAGGCUUAACACAUGCAAGUCGAGCGGGGAAAAGUAGCUUGCUACUUUACCUAGCGGCGGACGGGUGAGUAAUGCUUAGGAAUCUGCCUAUUAGUGGGGGACAACAUCUCGAAAGGGAUGCUAAUACCGCAUACGUCCUACGGGAGAAAGCAGGGGACCUUCGGGCCUUGCGCUAAUAGAUGAGCCUAAGUCGGAUUAGCUAGUUGGUGGGGUAAAGGCCUACCAAGGCGACGAUCUGUAGCGGGUCUGAGAGGAUGAUCCGCCACACUGGGACUGAGACACGGCCCAGACUCCUACGGGAGGCAGCAGUGGGGAAUAUUGGACAAUGGGGGGAACCCUGAUCCAGCCAUGCCGCGUGUGUGAAGAAGGCCUUUUGGUUGUAAAGCACUUUAAGCGAGGAGGAGGCUACCGAGAUUAAUACUCUUGGAUAGUGGACGUUACUCGCAGAAUAAGCACCGGCUAACUCUGUG
rnacentral:rRNA from 1 species